rnacentral:rRNA from 1 species
GACGAACCGUGCGAACGUUAUUCGGAAUCACUGGGCUUAAAGGGCGCGUAGGCGGGCGACCAAGUCAGGGGUGAAAUCGUUCGGCCCAACCGGACAAGGGCCCCUGAUACUGGUUGUCUCGAGGGAGGUAGGGGUCGAUGGAACUUCCGGUGGAGCGGUGAAAUGCGUAGAUAUCGGAAGGAACGCCGGUGGCGAAAGCGAUCGACUGGACCUCUUCUGACGCUGAGGCGCGAAAGCGUGGGGAGCGAACAGG